rnacentral:rRNA from 1 species
UUAUGGCUCAGAACAACGCUGGCGGCAGGCUUAACACAUGCAAGUUGAGCGGGAUUCAUUUAUAGCUUGCUAUGGAUGAUGAGAGCAGCGCACUGGUGAGUAACACGUGGGAACAUGCCUUUUUGUGGGGGACAACAGUUGGAAACGACUGCUAAUACCGCAUACGCCCUGAGGGGGAAAGAUUAAUUGCCGAAAGAUUGGCCCGCGGAAGAUUAGGUAGUAGGUGGGGUAACGGCCUACCUAGCCGACGAUCUAUAGCUGGUCUGAGAGGUUGAACGGCCACAUUGGGACUGAGACACGGCCCAGACUCCUACGGGAGGCAGCAGUGGGGAAUAUUGCACAAUGGGGGAAACCCUGAUGCAGCGAUGCCGCGUGGAGGAAGAAGGUUUUCGGAUUGUAAACUCCUGUCUUAAAGGACGAUAAUGACGGUACUUUAGGAGGAAGCUCCGGCUAACUACGUGCCAGCCGCGGC